CCUACGGGUGGCAGCAGUGGGGAAUAUUGCACAAUGGGGGAAACCCUGAUGCAGCGACGCCGCGUGAGUGAAGAAGUAUUUCGGUAUUUAAAGCUCUAUUUGCAGGGAAGAAAAUGACGGUACCUGUCUCAGAAGCCCCGGCUAACUCCAUGCCCGAACCCGCGGUAUUACGUCGGGGGCAAGCGUUAUCCGGAUGUACUGGGUGUAAAAGGAGAGUAGUCGGCCUGUAAAGUCCGAAGUGAAAGCCCAGGGCUCAACCCUGGAACUGCUUUUGAAACCGGCGGGGUGGAGUAGAGGAGAGGUAGGCGGAAUUCAUAGUGUAGCGGUGAAAUGCGUAGAUAUUAGGAGGAACACCAGUGGCGAAGGCGGCUUACUGGACUGUAACUGACGUUGAGGCUCGAAAGCGUGGGGAGCAAACAGGAUUAGAUACCCCUGUAGUC
rnacentral:rRNA from 1 species